AUGGAACUACACAGCCAAUCCAGUGAGUCAACACAACAGACAGCUCAGUCUAUGGAGCCACACAGCCAAUCCAGUGAGUCAACACAACAGACAGCUCAGUCUAUGGAACCACACAGCCAAGCCAGUGAGUCAACACAACAGACAGCUCAGUCUAUGGAACUACACAGCCAAGCCAGUGAGUCAACACAACAGACAGCUCAGUCUAUGGAACCACACAGCCAAGCCAGUGAGUCAACACAACAGACAGCUCAGUCUAUGGAACUACACAGCCAAGCCAGUGAGUCAACACAACAGACAGCUCAGUCUAUGGAACUACACAGCCAAGCCAGUGAGUCAACACAACAGACAGCUCAGUCUAUGGAACUACACAGCCAAGCCAGUGAGUCAACACAACAGACAGCUCAGUCUAUGGAACUACACAGCCAAGCCAGUGAGUCAACACAACAGACAGCUCAGUCUAUGGAACUACACAGCCAAGCCAGUGAGUCAACACAACAGACAGCUCAGUCUAUGGAACUACACAGCCAAUCCAGUGAGUCAACACAACAGACAGCUCAGUCUAUGGAACUACACAGCCAAUCCAGUGAGUCAACACAACAGACAGCUCAGUCUAUGGAGCCACACAGCCAAUCCAGUGAGUCAACACAACAGACAGCUCAGUCUAUGGAACUACACAGCCAAGCCAGUGAGUCAACACAACAGACAGCUCAGUCUAUGGAACUACACAGCCAAGCCAGUGAGUCAACACAACAGACAGCUCAGUCUAUGGAACUACACAGCCAAUCCAGUGAGUCAACACAACAGACAGCUCAGUCUAUGGAAAUACACAGCCAAUCCAGUGAGUCAACACAACAGACAGCUCAGUCUAUGGAAAUACACAGCCAAUCCAGUGAGUCAACACAACAGACAGCUCAGUCUAUGGAGCCACACAGCCAAUCCAGUGAGUCAACACAACAGACAGCUCAGUCUAUGGAAAUACACAGCCAAUCCAGUGAGUCAACACAACAGACAGCUCAGUCUAUGGAACUACACAGCCAAGCCAGUGAGUCAACACAACAGACAGCUCAGUCUAUGGAAAUACACAGCCAAUCCAGUGAGUCAACACAACAGACAGCUCAGUCUAUGGAAAUACACAGCCAAUCCAGUGAGUCAACACAACAGACAGCUCAGUCUAUGGAGCCACACAGCCAAUCCAGUGAGUCAACACAACAGACAGCUCAGUCUAUGGAAAUACACAGCCAAUCCAGUGAGUCAACACAACAGACAGCUCAGUCUAUGGAGCCACACAGCCAAUCCAGUGAGUCAACACAACAGACAGCUCAGUCUAUGGAGCCACACAGCCAAUCCAGUGAGUCAACACAACAGACAGCUCAGUCUAUGGAACUACACAGCCAAGCCAGUGAGUCAACACAACAGACAGCUCAGUCUAUGGAACUACACAGCCAAGCCAGUGAGUCAACACAACAGACAGCUCAGUCUAUGGAACUACACAGCCAAUCCAGUGAGUCAACACAACAGACAGCUCAGUCUAUGGAGCUACACAGCCAAGCCAGUGAGUCAACACAACAGACAGCUCAGUCUAUGGAACUACACAGCCAAGCCAGUGAGUCAACACAACAGACAGCUCAGUCUAUGGAACUACACAGCCAAGCCAGUGAGUCAACACAACAGACAGCUCAGUCUAUGGAGCCACACAGCCAAGCCAGUGAGUCAACACAACAGACAGCUCAGUCUAUGGAACUACACAGCCAAGCCAGUGAGUCAACACAACAGACAGCUCAGUCUAUGGAACUACACAGCCAAGCCAGUGAGUCAACACAACAGACAGCUCAGUCUAUGGAGCCACACAGCCAAGCCAGUGAGUCAACACAACAGACAGCUCAGUCUAUGGAGCCACACAGCCAAGCCAGUGAGUCAACACAACAGACAGCUCAGUCUAUGGAGCCACACAGCCAAGCCAGUGAGUCAACACAACAGACAGCUCAGUCUAUGGAACUACACAGCCAAGCCAGUGAGUCAACACAACAGACAGCUCAGUCUAUGGAGCCACACAGCCAAGCCAGUGAGUCAACACAACAGACAGCUCAGUCUAUGGAACUACACAGCCAAGCCAGUGAGUCAACACAACAGACAGCUCAGUCUAUGGAGCCACACAGCCAAGCCAGUGAGUCAACACAACAGACAGCUCAGUCUAUGGAGCCACACAGCCAAGCCAGUGAGUCAACACAACAGACAGCUCAGUCUAUGGAACUAUACAGCCAAGCCAGUGAGUCAACACAACAGACAGCUCAGUCUAUGGAGCCACACAGCCAAGCCAGUGAGUCAACACAACAGACAGCUCAGUCUAUGGAACUACACAGCCAAGCCAGUGAGUCAACACAACAGACAGCUCAGUCUAUGGAGCCACACAGCCAAGCCAGUGAGUCAACACAACAGACAGCUCAGUCUAUGGAACCACACAGCCAAGCCAGUGAGUCAACACAACAGACAGCUCAGUCUAUGGAAAUACACAGCCAAGCCAGUGAGUCAACACAACAGACAGCUCAGUCUAUGGAACUACACAGCCAAGCCAGUGAGUCAACACAACAGACAGCUCAGUCUAUGGAACCACACAGCCAAGCCAGUGAGUCAACACAACAGACAGCUCAGUCUAUGGAGCCACACAGCCAAGCCAGUGAGUCAACACAACAGACAGCUCAGUCUAUGGAGCCACACAGCCAAGCCAGUGAGUCAACACAACAGACAGCUCAGUCUAUGGAACUACACAGCCAAGCCAGUGAGUCAACACAACAGACAGCUCAGUCUAUGGAGCCACACAGCCAAGCCAGUGAGUCAACACAACAGACAGCUCAGUCUAUGGAACAACAUUUAGAUCUCUCUAGACUGAGAGGCCUAUCUGAGAUUUUGGGGACUGCAGAGUCAAGGUGUAGUCCAUCCUUGAGAGAGGGGAGGAAGAAAAGAAGAGGGAGGAUUGGGAAUAGAGAGAGAUAG
rnacentral:lncRNA from 1 species